rnacentral:rRNA from 1 species
AUGGAGUGCUCCCUCCUCCUCCUCUUGGCCGUCGGAGUUGGCCUCCUAGCCACCGAGGUCGCCGGCCACGAGCCAGAGUCCUGCGACACCGCUACACUGGCCCUUCACAUCAACGGCAUCCCGUACCCCGUCACCGAGAAGGACCGCGGGGCCGCCAGCUGCGAGGUGGUGCGGUCCGGGGUGGACUCGUCCCUGGCAGCGGCGGCGGGAGUGCCCCGUGCCUCUGCCUCCUCGAUGACUUCCCGGCUUUUCUCGUCACCGGCUUCUCCAUCGCGAACGUCCCGGCCGAGAUCUACGGCCCCUGCGGAGGCCGGCACGUCAAAGAAGCCCGGCUCCUCGCGGAGAAAUGCGACGGUAUGGAAUGGACCACGAUUCGUAGUUUGGCAGUUCAUUUUCCUUAGAGCGUACGUCAUUGUGAAGGGAAGCAUGCCUUGUGUUGCGCAGGAGUAUUGGCUGGAUUGUCAUCCCGGAGGGAGGAGGAGAAGGACAAGGACGGCGCCGUGGAGGACGAGGCCAUCCGCAGCAACAGUGAUGGGCUGGCUGGCUCUAUGUCAGUUGUCCAGUAGGAAGGAGUUAGUGGAAGCCCGUUUGGUUGUACUAGCACUUGUGGCCUGGGCCGCAUGCAGGCAUCGAGCUUCGAUCACGAUGCACCGCAAGCAAGUGCAUGAAGAAGAUGGCGGUGAUUUCACCGAUAUAUGUUGGUUACAAGUAUUAUUGGACGCGGAGAAUGAGGAUACGCGAGCAAAAGUGCUGCUAUUUCUAUGGCGCUGCUGGCACCUUCGGGAGGAUUGCGUUCGCAGCGACGACAGGCAGUCAAUCAGCUCAUCGGUCCAAUUCCUUGAAAAGUAUGAGGAAGAAUUCAGACUGGCGGGUGCUGAGAUGGAUAUGGGUUUAGGAGGAAAAAUGACCUUGGGGGGGAAGGCGCCGGACCCGAGCGUUAUUGAGAACACGAGCUGUCGCUGGAUUCCCCCCGUUCAGGGCAUUGUAAAACUGAAUACGGAUGCAGCUUUUAUGGCUGAAACAGGCGUGGGUGCUGCUGGAGUUAUAGCCAGAUAUGACAGGGGCAGAGUGAUCUUCACAGAAACUAGAGGUCUGCCUCCCUGUAGAGGAGUGGACGAGGCAGAAGCCAGAGCUGCUCUGGUCGGCCUACACUCUCUGGCUGGCUUGUAUAAUGGGCGAGUAAUACUGGAGGUGGACAGCAUAGCGAUAGUGAAGGAGGUACAGGCUCAAACCCAACCUCGCUCUGCCAGCUACGGACUCAUAAUGGACAUCAAGCGGGAGAUGGAAAGGUUCUCUGCAUGUGAUAUCAGGCAUGUGAAGCGAUGCAAUAACGCCAUGGCGCACGAACUGGCUGCUUUGCACAGAGCGACCGGCGACCAGAUGCUAAUUGCAGACGCCCCAGCUUGUCUACAACAUCUGUUGGCAAAUGAACGAGCUGCACGCUGA